rnacentral:rRNA from 1 species
UACGUAGGGUGCGAGCGUUGUCCGGAAUUAUUGGGCGUAAAGGGCUCGUAGGCGGUUUGUCGCGUCGGGAGUGAAAUCCACUGGCUUAACUGGUGGCUUGCUUUCGAUACGGGCAGACUAGAGGUAGGUAGGGGAGAAUGGAAUUCCCGGUGUAGCGGUGAAAUGCGCAGAUAGUCGGAGGAACACCGGUGGCGAAGGCGGUUCUCUGGGCCUUACCUGACGCUGAGGAGCGAAAGCGUGGGAGCGAACGGA